CGAGCGUUAGGCGGAAUCACUGGGCUUAAAGCGUGUGUAGGCGGACCGUUAAGUACCUUGUGAAAUCCCCCGGCUCAACCGGGGAACGGCUGGGUAUACUGGCGGUCUUGAGCCAUCCAGGGGCAGUCGGAACAGACGGUGGAGCGGUGAAAUGCGUAGAUAUCGUCUGGAACGCCGAAGGUGAAAACAGACUGCUGGGGAUGAGCUGACGCUGAGACACGAAAGCCAGGGGAGCGAACGGG
rnacentral:rRNA from 1 species